rnacentral:rRNA from 1 species
AGAGUUUGAUCAUGGCUCAGAUUGAACGCUGGCGGCAGGCCUAACACACGCAAGUCGAACGGUAACAGAAAGCAGCUUGCUGCUUUGCUGACGAGUGGCGGACGGGUGAGUAAUGUCUGGGAAACUGCCCGAUGGAGGGGGAUAACUACUGGAAACGGUAGCUAAUACCGCAUAACGUCGCAAGACCAAAGAGGGGGACCUUCGGGCCUCUUGCCAUCGGAUGUGCCCAGAUGGGAUUAGCUAGUAGGUGGGGUAAAGGCUCACCUAGGCGACGAUCCCUAGCUGGUCUGAGAGGAUGACCAGCCACACUGGAACUGAGACACGGUCCAGACUCUUACGGGAGGCAGCAGUGGGGAAUAUUGCACAAUGGGCGCAAGCCUGAUGCAGCCAUGCCGCGUGUAUGAAGAAGGCCUUCGGGUUGUAAAGUACUUUCAGCGGGGAGGAAGGGAGUAAAGUUAAUACCUUUGCUCAUUGACGUUACCCGCAGAAGAAGCACCGGCUAACUCCGUGCCAGCAGCCGCGGUAAUACGGAGGGUGCAAGCGUUAAUCGGAAUUACUGGGCGUAAAGCGCACGCAGGCGGUUUGUUAAGUCAGAUGUGAAAUCCCCGGGCUCAACCUGGGAACUGCAUCUGAUACUGGCAAGCUUGAGUCUCGUAGAGGGGGGUAGAAUUCCAGGUGUAGCGGUGAAAUGCGUAGAGAUCUGGAGGAAUACCGGUGGCGAAGGCGGCCCCCUGGACGAAGACUGGCGCUCAGGUGCGAAAGCGUGGGGAGCAAACGGGAUUAGAUACCCUGGUAGUCCA